rnacentral:rRNA from 1 species
AGUGAACGCUGGCGGCAGGCCUAACACAUGCAAGUCGAACGGCCGCACAGUAAGAUCUCGCUCUUACGGGUGGCGAGUGGCGGAUGGGUGACGCAUACAUCGCAAUCUACUAUUUCGUGGGUGAUAACGUAGGGACACUUCCGCUAAUACCGCAUAUGAUCUACGGGUUAAUGCAGUGGUUCUUCGCACUUUGCGCGUCUGAAUUAGCCGAUGUCGGAUUAGCUAGUUGGCGUGGUAAAGUCCCACCAAGGCAACGAUCCGUAGCUGAGCUGAGAGGAUGAUCAGCCACACUGGAACUGAGACACGGUCCAGACUCCUACGGGAGGCAGCAGUGGGGAAUAUUGGGCAAUGGGCGAAAGCCUGAUGCAGCCAUGCCGCGUGGGUGAAGAAGGCCUUCGGGUUGUAAAACUCUGUUGUUAGGGAAGAAAAGAAGCAGGUGAAUACACCGCUGUUUUGACGGUACCCAAACAAAAAGCACCGGCUAACUUCGUG